GCCUCAGUAGCUCAGCGGUAGAGCGCCUGUCUUGUAAACAGGAGGUCGGGAGUUCAAUUCUCCCCUGGGGCU
rnacentral:tRNA from 1 species